UUAGAUGCUGCUCCAGCCAGCCAGAGAAUCCCCCGCCGCCCCGCCCUCUCCUCCCUGUGCCGUAAGCAGCAGGCGCACCUCGCAAACGGAGGGCGCCCUUACUCCCAGCAAAUGGGCGAUAGAAACCCGAUCGGUGCCUACGACAUUCCCGAUAUGCGCUGGCUGAUGUCGGGGCAGCAUGAGUAUGAGCAUUUUUUUUUUUUUUUUUUUUGCCGAUACUCGUGAUGCCGCCCCCCACCACGAUGCCGCCCUGGGCAACCGCCCGUGUCGCCCGUAUCUAAAACCGCUACUGAUCUAGACAGCGCGUCAACCAUGACAUUAUCUAAGCCCUUCUUGUAACGGAUUUCAAUGUUAAAGUCUUGGAGGAGUAAAGACCAGCGCAUGAGGCGUUGGUUGCUGUUCUGCAUCCGAGAUAAGAACACAAGGGGGUUGUGGUCAGAAAAUACCAUUGUUGGAAGAGGAUUGGACCCAAGGUACACUUCGAAAUGCUGCAAGGCGGGCAGCAAGGCUAAAGCCUCCUUUUCAAUCGUGCUGUAAUGUAGCUGGUGUUUUAUGAAUUUUUUUGAAAAGAAACAGACGGGAUGGUCAAGGCCAUGUUCAUCCUCCUGCAGGAGCACUGCACCAGCCCCCAAAGCACUGGCAUCUACCUCGAGCUCAUAACAAGUAGUUCAUGUUUAGAAUAAAAAAUCCCAGCUCACUGACUUGAUCGGGGCAACAGUGCGCCUAAAAUGUUGCAUAAUUUUGCUGAGAGACCUUUUACUUUGUGGUAAUCUGAUGUAGCCGGAUGGGCUACUCGCCUUUCUUUUCUCUCUCGCUCACUCUACUGCUCUCUCCUGCGCUCGCUCUCUCCUGCGCUCGCUCUCGCUGCGCAACUACGCUAAUUAGGAACCCACCUGUAUAUUGAUUACAGGGUGGUGUUUACCUGUAUAAAGGGAAGCCGGUUUUUCUUGUUGGAUCAUUCCUCCCGAGCUUCUGGUGCGACACAGCAGUAAAUGCUGGCCUAUCGGUUAAUUUUACGAUCGGAUCGUGUGACCGCUACAGCGCGGCUGUUUUUCUUUCCUUUGCUCCAGCCGUGGUGAGGAGACGCGUGAGUGCAUCCGCCGUGCAGUACAGCGCCUCCAAGUUCUGGGGUAAGCCGCUUAUUUUAUAGCUGCUAGUUUUGUAAAUUAAAGAAGAUUAAGGUUAGUUUUGCCUUUUCUUAUUUGUAGGAUUUGAUUGCUGCCGCACCCUCUCAGGGAUCAACUGCCUGAUUUUUAAGCGAAGAGUUGAGGCACCUGCCCUGCUGCUGUCUUGUUUUGUUGAUUUUGUUAUAUUACGGUUAAUCUGUCGGCGGCCCAGUUUUCCCCUGUAGCUUGCCUUUCCACGCCCUUUUGGACUAUUGUUCGCUCCAGCUUUUGUGGCUGGCCGGGGCGAUUCUCGGCCGUAUACUGGGCCGGUUAUACGAACUGGUACUGCCUUUCCCCUUUCUCCCAGCUGUGAAGUUGUGUGAGACCGAGCAGACCAAGGAUAAUCGGACCCAGCACCAGUUGUGGGCUGGUUCGCCGAGUGAAAGUAUUUUUAAUCAGUGCUCUGUGGUGUAUAACUGGGUGUGUUGUAUCACCGACUUUUGUUUUCCUUUAAUUGUUUCUUUCUUUUGUUUUCUAGGUUGAGAGCUUGUUUAUGUCCCAUGUUUUUAUCCUUUUUAAUGUGUUUAUCUCGUGCUUUUAUUUCAGCGAACUGAGGAUUUACCAGCGGCCGUGGGACCUCAGGUGGUGGGUCGUUUUCCACACUACUUUUGUUGUACAGCACCAGGUGAAUAGACUAUAGUAGGUUUCUUUGUGUGGUUCUUUUGGUCCACCGCUGCUGGUAAGUCCCAGUUGUAUUUAUUUUUAUUGUAAUUUGGGACACCGUUUUAGAUAUUCAGUGCGCUGUUGUUUUGUUUUUCAUUUUACAUUAAUAAAUAAAAUUGUGUUUAUAUUUGA